rnacentral:lncRNA from 1 species
ACAAAUUUGACCGCUACCAGCAGACGUUCUGUGGACGCAGUUCUUUUAGAUGAAGGAAAUCUUGUUUUGAGAGAUUUGUCAAAUAAUUUGUCAGAGCCGUUAUGGCAAAGUUUUGAUCAUCCAGCUCAUACUUGGAUUCCCGGUAUGAAGCUGACGUUCAACAAGAGAAACAACGUCAGUCAACUUCUCACUUCAUGGAAGAAUAAAGAAAAUCCUGCACCGGGUCUCUUCUCCCUUGAGCUAGCACCAGAUGGAUCAAAUCAAUAUGUUAUUUUGUGGAAUAGGUCUGAGCAGUACUGGAGAAGUGGACCUUGGGAUGAUAAUGCAAAAAUUUUCAGCUUGGUCCCUGAAAUGACACUAAAUUAUAUCUACAAUUUCAGCUAUGUGUCGAAUGAAAACGAGAGCUAUUUCACCUACAGUGUGAAAGAUAGCACUUACACAUCUCGAUUCAUUAUGGAUGUUUCAGGACAGGUUAAGCAGAUGAAUUGGUUGCCUACCAACUCUUGGUUUCUGUUUUGGUCCCAACCAAGACAGCAAUGUGAGGUUUAUGCUUUUUGUGGUCAAUUUAGCACCUGCAAUGAGCAAACUGAGCGUUUUUGUUCUUGUUUGAAAGGUUUUCAACAAAAAUCGGUGAGUGACUGGAAUUUGGAAGAUUUUUCUGGUGGUUGUGUGAGGAAAACCCCGCUGCAGUGUGAAAAUAAUAGCCUUGCCAAUGGAAAAAGCGACCAAUUUUUCCAGUACAUUAACAUGAAUUUGCCUAAACAUCCACAAUCUGUGACAGUAGGGGGUAUCAGGGAAUGUGAAACACACUGCUUGAAUAACUGCUCUUGCACUGCUUAUGCUUACAAAGACAACGCUUGCUCGAUUUGGGUAGGAAGUUUCGUGGGUCUGCAACAGCUACAAGGAGGUGGAGAUACCAUUUACAUCAAGCUUGCAGCUUCUGAGUUCGAGAGUCCCAAGAACAACAAGGGAGUAGUCAUUGGCGGUGUUGUGGGCUCAGUGGCUGUCGUAGCUCUUAUUGGCCUGAUCAUGCUUGUCUACUUGAGAAGGAGAAAGACAGCAACUGUAACAACCAAAACUGUGGAGGGUUCUUUGGUGGCAUUUGCAUACAAGGAUUUGCAAACUGCCACAAAGAAUUUCUCUGAAAAGCUGGGGGGAGGAGGUUUUGGUUCAGUUUUCAAAGGGGUGUUGCCGAAUUCAAGUCUCAUAGCUGUGAAGAAGCUUGAAAGCUGGAGCCAAGGAGAGAAGCAAUUUCGCACUGAAGUCAGUACCAUAGGGAAUAUCCAACAUGUCAAUCUGGUUCGGCUUCUGGGUUUCUGCUCUGAAGGUACUAGUAGGUUGUUGGUCUACGAUUUCAUGCCAAACGGUUCUUUAGACUCUCAUCUCUUCACUGAAAAAGAUUCAGACUUUCUUGAUUGGAAAACAAGAUACCAAAUUGCACUGGGGACAGCCAGAGGUUUGGCUUAUCUUCAUGAGAAGUGCAGAGACUGCAUCAUACACUGUGACAUAAAGCCAGAGAACAUUCUGUUAGACGCUGAAUUUUGUCCCAAAGUGUCGGAUUUUGGGCUGGCAAAGCUUGUUGGGAGGGAGUUCAGCCGUGUCCUAACAACCAUGAGAGGAACAAGAGGUUACCUUGCACCUGAAUGGAUUUCAGGAGUGGCCAUAACAGCCAAAGCGGAUGUCUACAGCUAUGGAAUGAUGCUGUUUGAAUUUGUAUCAGGAAGGAGGAACUCCCACGAAUCUGAAGAUGGUAAAGUGAAGUUCUUCCCAUCUUGGGCUGCUAAACAAAUAGUUGAAGGCAGCAAUCUCAUUAGCCUAUUAGACCCAAGACUGGAGGGCAACGCUGACGAAGAAGAGCUUGCAAGACUUUGCAAUGUGGCUUGUUGGUGCAUCCAAGAUGAUGAGACUCACAGGCCAUCAAUGGGUCAAGUAGUUCAAAUUCUUGAGGGAGUUUUGGACGUGACACUGCCUCCAAUUCCCAGAGCUCUCCAAGUAAUGGUCGAUGACCAUGAGCACGUAGUCUUCUUCACUGAAUCAUCCUCAUCUCAGAGUUCCCUGUCAAAGAGCAACAAUUCAACUGCUUCAGCUCAAGCAAAGAGCACCACAUUAUCAAGAAGUUCUUAAAUCGAUGUGAAGAAAAUAUUUUAACAUUUGUGUUUAAGAAUAUAUAUUUGGAUUAUUUCACUUGUAACAACCUGUAUGCAUAUUUGGAUAGAAGCCUUGCUUCGUAGUGUAUAAUAAUAAUGCCCCCUGCCAAAGCAAUUUUAAGAAUCACAAGCCUUGUGCCUCGCUGUUUUCUCUAAUGAACUCUGAUUGAUCUAUGCUCCUCUGCAUUGACUAUUGGCCUCACCUAAUCGCUUCAACUGGCAAAAUUAGGUAUUGAAAUGAAAGCGACUUGGAACAAAUAACAUAAACAAAUAACAUGGGUCAAACAGCAAAAACAAUCAAACAAACAAACAUAAACGUGACGUUGUAACAAAUAACAUGGGUCAAGAUAUAAAUCAACUGACCAACAUUGUUGAAUUGUCGAUAUUUUUAUUGACUUCAAUUGACUAACAACUUUCCUUCUUUUCUUGAAGGAUGGCUUUGGCGGCGUUUCUUGAAGGAUGGCUUGGACCUCUCGUUGAUUCGCGUCCUCGAUAUUGGUUCGUGGCUUUCGAUCUUCCUGAUCUCGCCGUCUUCCGAAGAGAAGACGUUUGUCGAAGUUAUCGCAAUCGACGCUCACCAUUGUCCUGGUAAGUCACGGUUAAGCUAACAGUAACGAUAACGGCAUUGAUAAUUGUUUGGACGGGAUAUUAUCAUUUUCCCACCGACGGUAUUCUGACACAUCAUGUCAGUACUAUGGUUUAGUAAAACUAUUAAUUUAUCACCAAAUAUUAAAACUGUUAGCAUUUUCUCACCAUUCCGUUAAAACUCAGUUAAUAUGUAAUGAAAAAUUUUUAAAAGGUCAAUUUUACCCCUGGAGCAUAAAAGACCAUGUAAUUAACCUUUUAUGAAUUUUGUAAUUAAAUCAUCAUUUAUUGUUCUUCCUUCUUAAAGGACAAAAAUUACCCUUUAUGAAUUUUGUAAAAUUGACCGUGUGGUGUUAGGUAAUUCAUAAAUUGAUUUAAUUUAUUUAAUUUUUAAAGGGCAAAUUUAUUUAUUUAAUUUUUUGUGUAAAAUUAUUAUCAUCAUAUCAAAGAUUAAAUUGCUUCUUUUGCACUUUUUUUUUCAAAUUUAUUUAUUUAAUUUUUUGUGUAAAAUUAUUAUCAUCAUAUCAAAGAUUAAAUUAAAUUGCUUCUUUUGCACUUUUUUUUUUUUUGCCCUUUCAUAAAUUGAGUUUUAGUAGUAUAAUAAAUUGUCUUUAGCUCGUCAAUUUAAUAAAUAAAUUUGCCCUUUAAAAAUUAAAUCAAUUUAUGAAGUACCUAGCACCACACGGUCAAUUUUACAAAAUUUAUAAAGGGUAAUUUUUGUCCUUUAAGAAGGAAGAACAACAAAUGAUGAUUUAAUUACAAAAUUCAUAAAAGGUUAAUUACAUAGUCUUUUACGCUCCAGGGGUAAAAUUGACAUUUUAUGAAUUUUCUGUUACAUAUUAAUUGAGUUUUAACGGAAUGGUGGGAAAAUGCUAACAGUUUAAACGUUUGGUGGUAAAUUGAUAGUUUUACCAAACCAUGGUACUGACAUGAUGUGUCAGAAUACCUUUAGUGGGAAAAUGAUAAUAUCCCUUGUUUGGACACUAAUAGUUUAUUUUAUUACUUGUUUUAAUUCAUUUCUUCUUAGCAUUAGUUUUUUUUAUUUCAAUUAUAAAUUAAUGUUAAAUUAUAGUUAAGACUGUCUUAAACUACUAUAAAUAAAUAGUUUUAAUUAUAUUUUUGAGGGAGUAAUAAUAUAAUUAAUUCUAUUUUAUGUUAAUUCUUCUCUCUUCCAUUUAAAUUCUUAAAUUCUUUAUUUAUUUCUCUCUUAAUUCUCUAAUCAAACCCUUAAAAUUCUACCAUCUGGUAUUAGAGCACAUCCUUCCUGCCACAAUUUUUAUUUUUCCAUUCACUUUUGCCAAUAUCUCUUGGCUUUCGACUGGAGAUUUAAACCGGACCCACCCUCUAAACUUUUUCCAACAUCUAAACUUUUUUAACCGAACCUGAAUUUUCUUGAGAGUUUUUUUGAGGCAUCAUGAUUUUUAAGGAGCUUGAAGGCAAAGUUCAACAGUUGUCUCAACAGUUUCAUGACAAAGUUACAACCAUCGAUGAAAAGGUUACGACCUUCGGCAAGCAAAAUAACGAUCUGCAGAAACUCAUGAAACAUCUUUCAGCAAUUGAGCCAGUUGCGAAAAGGAAAACAACCAACUACUGAUCAAAGACAAGUUGAUAUAUUUACUGGAGGGACCUUUGCUCCUCAAAUGGUAAUUGCUGCCCAACCACCUAUUGAACCUGGCGAACGCAUUGGAAGUACUCUCAUGCAAGCUUGUAACAUAUGACUUGACUUUCCUAUUUUUCAUGGUGACAAUCCAACGGGAUGGAUUUUUCGAUAUGAGCAAUGUCGUCGCCUUACUGGAUUAUCAGAUGUUGACUUAUUGUCCUUAGCUAUUGGCCAUCUUGAUGGUGAUACUGUACCUUGCAACUAGGGAUGGCAAAAUAACCCGGACCCGGACGAACCCGGAUAAUUCGGGCCGGGUUGAACCCGUAUCGGAGAGUAAAAAAAGCCGGAUCCGAAAUGGGUUUUAAUAACCCGGAUGAAUCCGGGUCCGGGUUUGGGGUAACCCGUGUAUCCGGAACUCGAACCCGGAUUCAUUUUUUAUAUUAUUUUUAAUUAUAUUUAUUAGUAAAUAUAAAUACAAAUAUUAAAAAAAAACCUAAUUCUAUUUCACAAGUCAAAGGCGUCAAACACACAAAUCGCGAUUUACACAAACAAGACAAACCCUAGCUGUGCCGCCGCUGCCGCCUUCCGCCUUCCGCUGUCCCGCAAGCAAGUCAAACAACUCUCGGCUAGGUUCGCCACCGUCGCAAGGUCGGUUCGCUGUCGUCGCAAGGUUGGGUUCGCGGUUCGUCGCAGCUUGUUUGGUUCACCAGAAUCACCACCGUCGCAUGCUUGCAGCAGUGCAGUUCCUCAAUUCGUUUGAUUCACCGGCGUGAGUAGCUGUUAUACUCUGUUUUAUGUGAUUUGUGCUAUGUGAUUUGUGAUAUUGAUUUGUGUUGUGUUAUACUGUUGUGAACACCACUGAUUUAUGUGAUUUGUGCUAUGUGAUUUGUGAUAUUGAUUUGUGUUGUGUUAUACACUUAUAUUGCCGUGAACACCACUAAUUUAUGCUUGAAAUGUUGUUGAUUGUUGGUGUUAAUAGAUUCGAAAUUGUAUAUUUCAAAUGUUAGAAAGCUGUUACAGUUAAAAAUAAAUUGUUGUUGUUAAUGGAUUUGUUGCUGUUAAUAGAUUCAAAAUUGUAUAAUUCAAAUGUUAGAAAGCUGUUACAGUUAAAAAUAAAUUGUUGUUGUUAAUGGAUUUGUUGCUGUUAAUAGAUUCGAAAAUGUAUUUUUGAAAUGUUAGAACUUAGAACAUUGUUACAGACUUACAGUAAAAAAAAUAAAUAUAAAAUGGAAGAAAUUGGAGGAAUGAUUGGUUAGUUUAAUUUGUUUUGACAUAAUUCUUGUAGGGUGUUAAAUUCAUAAUGGAAAAUGAACAAAGGUAUGGAAAAUUUAUUUAUUACAUAAAAUAAAUUAAUUUGUUAUAGUAUCAAUUUAUUACUAACUAACUGUUUUGUUCUUAUUUUUAUGAUUUAUUCAUGUUUUUUAGAUGGAAUUCCAGAGGAAGCAAUACUUUCUGCAGAACAGCUUAUUGAUGAAAGUUUGAUGAGUGAGUUGUGAACAACGAUGAGUCAAGUGAAGAAGAAUAGAAAAUGAUGGAGAAAAGUUUAAACUUUGGAUUUGUGGUUUUUAAUUUGAACUUUGAAUUGUAGACUUGUGUAAUUGUGUUAUGGAUUUAUAUUUGUGGCUGUUUUAUUACUUGAAACAGCCGUUUGAAUUGUAGAGUUUGCAAACUAGCUGUUUGAAUUGUAGAGUUUGCAGAGAGUUGAUUAAUUGUGAUUUGUGAGCACUGGACUAUUAUGCCAUAAUUGUGAUUUGUUGUUUAAGUCUUAAUUAUUAAGUGCUGGGAUGGCCUUUGAAACAUUGAGAAUUUGAGAUAUUGUGAUUUCUGAAGAGUGAUUGCUUCUGUCAAUGUUUAGGAGUUAGUUUAAAGCUUGUUGGUCAUCGUGCAAAGUAUGGAUUGUAUGGUUAUCUUGAUGAUGUUGGUGGUAGACAAUUAUAUAGGUUUAGAAACUUCAUGUGGUAGAGAAAAGCUUGGGGACAUUCUCCAAUCCUCUAAGCUAUGUUGCAGGGGCUGUUUGUCCAGUUUUGACCUCAUCUUUUUGUUUUUGUUAAUAUUUCCUUUAGUUACAUUAGUUGUGUUUUGGUUCUAUCACUAACAAUGAAAGUGAAAUUUGAAAUUUCAUUAUUGAUCCGGGUUCAAAACCCGGAAUCUGAGAACUCGGAUUUUUCCGGGUUGAACCCGGACCCGGAUGGAAAAAAUCGGGUUUUAAUCUGGGUCCGGGAGAAAGAAAAUGACAUCCGGGUCCGGAACCGAGAAGGCUAAACCCGGACCCGGAUUUUGCCAUCCCUAACCUUGGUUUAAUUGGAUAGAGCAAAUUAUGGGCGAAAUGACUUGGGCGCAAUUUAAACGGGCUUUGACUACUCGAUUUGGGACAUUAAAAGCGAAUAAUGCAGUUGGCAGUCUUACCAAACUACGUCAAAUACGGACCGUUCUUGACUAUCAACGACAAUUUGAAAAGUUGGCUGAUCAGACUAGCAAUUUAACUGAGUCUUUCUUUAUUAGUUGUUUCCUCUAUGGGUUGCGUGAAGAUAUCAAGGCUGGCGUACAACUGUUCAAACCUGUUAGUCUCGUACAAAUUUUUGAACUUACUAGGUUUAGUAAAAGACAAUUACUUUGCAAGGCAAUCGUUUCCAUAUUCCUGCCAUCCAAGAUCUAGUCCCACAAUUACAAUCGACUCCUAUUCCACCAGCACCCUCUUUAUUAGGACCAAUUUCCUCUACCUUACCUAAUAAUGUCAAACGUUUAUCUUCAGCUGAGCAGACAGAAAGACGUUUUGAAGGGCUUUGUUUCAACUCUGACGAGUAAUUCAAGCCUAAACAUCGUUGCAAACAAUCUCAACUAUUGCUUUUAGACGCUGAUAUACUUCUUCACAACCCUCCAAAACCGCUUGACCAUCAUUCGGAUUGGAAGAUCUCGGUUAUUGUGACUGGGUAAAAGGCUUGCAGACAAGCCUGUUUUAAGAGGCAGGGAAUGUUAGGACCCUAAUAAUUUAUUUUAUUGCUUGUUUUAAUUUCUUUCCUAUUAGUAUUAGGUUUUCUUAUUUCAAUUAUGAAUUAAUGUUCUUAUUAAAUUAAAAUUAGGACCGUCUUGAACUACUAUAAAUAAUUGGUUCUUAUUAUAUUAUUGAGUGAGCAAUAAUAAAAUUAAUUCUAAUCUCAAUUAAUUCUUCUCUCUUCCCUCUGAAUUCUUAAACUUUUCAUCUAUUUCUCUCUUAAUUCUCUAAUCAAAACCUCAGAAUGUUGGAGAAGACGAUUUACACACAUACAAGAUAAUAAAGGCAUUUAAAUCACCUAAUUAAGUUGUAUAGGGAUAAAUAAUUAAAUUACAAAAAGCUCGACAUAUACUGAAAAAUAAAAAAGAAAUUGAACAAAGUCAUAAAUUUAUUGACAUCUACAUUCUGAAAAUUAGUGUGUGUCUUCAGUAGGGAAAGUUAUCAUUUGCAUACGGUUAUUUUUAUUGAUAUUUUUUUUUAUAUUAAUCACGAGGUAUCCUGGGGAGGGCCCCAACUGUGGGAGACACCUUUAAGCCCGUACCACAACCCAGACUAGAAGUCCCCGCUCGAACCGGGAGGCAUAGUUCUCCCAACAAAGGUUUUUUUUUAUUGAUAUUAAAUACCUCUAUUUUAUGUUCAAUUGGAAGGAAUUCUAGGCUGUUCAGUUUUCUACUUACGGAACUAUCACGAUCGUUGUUAUUGAGAAAAUUGUGGCAAUUUUUUUGAUUGAUCAUGAUGAUUUUCUUACGUGGCAGGCUCGGUGAUGCUGUUAUUUCGCGGAGCAUUUCGAUGCCUGCUCUAUACUGGUAAUUUUCGCUGGGAAGCAAGUAAUGAGAGGGCCGAGAUAGGAAGGAACACGCUCGUCAAAGCUUUAAAAGAUGAUGUAGUAUAACACAUUGCAAUCCAUCAUAUGCUUUUCCUUCACAACUAGUUGCAGCUCAACAGGUACACUUUUUAAAUUUCUCAUCUACGUUAUCUUUACUUUUUUUUUGUUAAUUUAAAACCCCCAGGAUGGUGGGGGGCUUAGGCAGGAUCCCUACUUAUAAUAUAAAUCCGAAAAUGGUACAAGUACAAAGGAGGGGGACAACGACUAAUAUCUCCUAGAAAAAUUGAAAGGAAAAGAUAAAAGAACUAAAAGAAGACAAAUGGACGACAGAAACGCAGCGCCCACUGCCGUUUCACGAGUUUCCUUUGUCUUCUUUUAGUUCCGCGUGGGACCAUAAUAAAUAAUAAAAUAAAGAAUCCUAACAUAUAUAAAACACAUUUAGAAAUUGUCAUAAUUUAUUCCAUUAUUUCCAGCCAUUUAAAUUAAGAAAAAUCCUAACAUAUAUAAAACACAUUCAAAAAUUGUUAUAAUUUAUUCCAUUAUUUCCAGCCAUUUAAAUUAAAAAAAAUCCUAACAUAUAUAAAACACAUUCAGAAAUCGUUAUAAUUUAUUCCAUUAUUUCCACCCAUUUAAAUUAAAAAAAUCAUAACAAUUUAAAUAUAUAAAAAAACAAAAAUCUACGAAUUUUUACAAUUUAAAUUAAAUAUUCUAACCAUUUAAAUAUAUAGAGCACAACAAAAAUUUUAUUUGAAUGUAAUGAGAGUCACCAACUUACCAAUUAAUCAGUACCAAUUUUAUCAAGUUGCCUCUGUUUGCAGAUCCAGAUAUAACUUCUUCCUUGUGAUAAGCGAGAUGCAAAGAGGGAACCGAUUUUUCCUUGUUAAAUGUAGAUGACUCACGUUAAAUGAGAGGUGAGAGAUGGAGAGAGAGAAGACAACAAGAAAAAUCGGAACUAAAAAAGUGCUGCUAUUGUCAUCUCUUUUCGUUACUUUUGUGGUUUUUUUUAUUAUUUUAAUAUUUUUUUAUUAUUUUAUUUUUUAAAUAAAAAAAUAACUGACAAAGGAUGAUGAAUGGAGUUGAAGCAACAGACAAAGAGACCCACGUUUUUGUCGUUCCUUUAUCGUCAAAGAGUUCAAAUAGCAGAACUCAAAUUGAAAAACAAGUAUAACAUAGGCGAAAAGGAAUAAAAGAAAAGUCAAGCUAGCGCCUGAUAUGCGGAACUGCAUACGCGUCUAGAUGGAGAAUUAGGGAUGGCAAACAGCGGGCCUGGGCCAGGCUUUUUCAAGCCCAUGUCUAGGCCCUUUGUUAGCUAAGUGUACGGGCUUGGGUCGGGCCAGCCCCAUGGCGGGCCUGGGCUGGGCUUGAGCUUUAUUUAUUUAUUUUAAAUUUGUUAAAUUAUUGUAAAUUUGAAAUAAAUUAAUGAUCAAUAAGUUAUUACAAUCAUAGAUAAAUUAAAGAAAAUGAAUAUUUCAAAUUAAAAUAAUAAAUAAAGCAAAUAAAAACUCAUAACUUUAAUUUUCUUUAAUACUGAUUUUUUAAUUCAAACGCUCUUUUAAUUAAUUGACACAAAAGAAAAAAUUUAGUAUCAUUAUUUUGGUUUUGGGUAAAAGCUCGUUUAGUCCCUAUAUUUUGAGUUUAGUGUUCGUUUAGUCCCUAUAUUUUUAAAAAUACCUUAAAGCAUCCCUAUCAUUAAAUUAUUGACAUCCUUGCCAUUACCUUUUGUUCAUUUUAACUUAUUUUUACAAUAUUAUCCUAUUACAAUAAUGUUCCUUUUUUUAAACAUUAUUAAAAAGAAAAUUUAAAUUACCAGUUUAACACCAAAAAAUAAAAUAAAAACAAUAUAUAUAUUAAUUUUUGUGGAACACUCUGCUGAGAAGUUAAAAUAUUAAUUUUUUUUAAAAUUGAUAAUUUAAUUUUUUACAAAAUUAAUUUUUUUUGGACACACAUGAGCUUCCAGAAAAAUUAAUAUAUAUCUUUUUUGUUUUUUAUUUUAUUUUUGGGUUUAAUUUGAUAAUCCGAUUUUUUUUAUUAAUAUCUAAAAAAGAAAUAUUACUGUAAGAGUGUAAAAUUGUAAAAUCAUGCUAAAAAAAUAAAAAAUAAUGGCAUAAGUGUCAAUAUUUAAUAGUAAGGACGUUUUGAGGUAUUCUUAAAAAUAUAGGGAUUAAAUGGGCACUAAGCUCAUAAUAUAGGGACUAAACAAGCUUUUACCCUUUAGUUUUUUUAAUCAUAAUUGAUUUAUAAGUUAAGAAUUUAAAUUUUUUAAACUUUUAAAUUACUUUUUAAUUUUAAUUAUAUUAUUUUAAUUUAUAAAAUUAUUUUUUUAAAAAAUAAUGGACUUAAACUUUAUCCGGGCUUUUCUUGAGCCCUUACCCAGUUCUUCAUGGGUGAGGGAGGGCCUGGGCUAGACCCGAACGGACUUGGGCCGGCCCAGAUUUUUUUACCAUCCCUACGGAGAAUGCUGUGAAAACCAGCAGGAUUGUCCCUGGGGCUCAUAAACCGACAAUGCACCUUAUGAGUACAAACCCAAUUGGCUGGAAAAUCAGUAGCAGAAGUAGCCUCCCAAAAUACACGACGGACCAAGAUAUUAGUUGAAGAAGCCAUACUACGGACACGUCGCAAAAGGUAUAUGUAAUCCCACGACACCUGGCAAUCGGACCGAAUCCAUGCGCCUAUGGUAGCAGAGUCCGAUUCUACCUGCAAUAUAGAAUGGCCGAGGUGAGCUGCAAGCUCUAAGCUCUCAUGAACAGCCAUAAGCUCUAUGUAAAGGAUCGGACGAUAACCUAGGAAUGAUCCAAAAGUGCCUAAGAGCUCUCCCCAAGAGUCACGUAAAAUGCCCCCUGAAGCAGCCAUCCCUGGGUUUCCCCUAGAGCAUCCAUCCACUGUCAACUUCACCACCCCCGGAGGUGGUCGAAUCCAAGAAAUCAGCCGAAGUGGUCUCCUAUGCCGUGUAACAACACGCCAUCCCUCCACUAAUCUACUAUCCAGGACGCCGCGCAGUUGGGAUGUUUUAAAACCGAAAGCAAAGCUGGCCAGCUUAAGAUCUGAAACUACUCGAAAAAUGACCGCAUCUACUGAAAAUGCCACUGAAUCAAAUCUGUAAGCAUUUCGGGCCUUCCACACGUGCCAGAGGAUGAAACAAGGAAGGAGAACUCGAAUAUGGUUCCGGGAAGGAGCACAUCGCCUCCAGUGGCGAAGCAGCGCAUGAGGGGAGCGUUAUCUUUACUUGAUUUGCAAUGAGGUAAAGAAGUCAAUUGGGUAAUUUUUUUCUGUGAGAGUGAAUUGCGGCAAACGUGAGCAAAUUUUGCAUCAUUGUGCAUUUUGUUGUAGAAUGAGGAGAGCCAAUUUUCCUGACUAUCUAGACGAGUCUUUAGUUGAAUCUCUCCAUGGCCAUAAGUGGCCGGCAUAGACCAAAUCCUGAAACUGGUCAUGGUCCAAUAUGCAGACCACUCUGACUAUGGUCAAGACACUGGAAAAUGGUGAACGUUGACUAAGUUUUGAAAGUUAUCAAAAUUUAAUAAUAUCAUGUUUCUGAUUUCUAAUCAUGUUUUUUUAUUUCGAAGAUUUCAGUUUUGACAAUUUGACUAAAUAAAUAUGCGGGUUAAAAUUUUCAUGAUCUAAAAAAAUGUAACGAGAACUAAUAAAAUUUAUUAUUUUAUUACGGUUUAUAUCAUUUGAAAUGUUUAUUCAAUAUAAACGAUAUGUCCGGCCUUGUGGUGGCUGGUGGGUGCAAUUUGAGAUGGUAAAAUUUUUUUAUUUUGAAGACAAGAUGUGAAUCCCAUUUAGUAUUAUUAUUAAAUUAAGAAGUAUAAAGAAGUCAAGCAACCAAGAAACCAUAAAGAAGUCAAACAGGCUAGAAGCCGUAAAGAAGUCUAGAAACCAUAAAGAAACCAAAUAUCAUAAACUAAAGAAAAGAUAAAAUAGAGAGUAAUAACAGCAGCAAAAAAAACAGAGAACAGUAGCUUAUUUGUUUGCCACAACAGAUCUAAUACUUGUCCGUUUGUAAUCAUAUGUUUGCUGUUGUUCUCUGUUUAUUGCAGCUGCUAUUACUCUCAUUUUAGCUUUUCCUUAGCUUAUGAUCUUCGGUUUCUAUAUGGCUUCUUGGCUGCUUAACUUCUUAACGUCUCCUACGUGUUUGACUUCUUUAUGGUUUACCCCAAAAUGACCGAAGUGUUCCACAUUUAUGUAUUUUAAAGAGGAUCGUUCUUCUUCUCUAUGUCUGUCUGUCUGGCUGUUGUCUUUCUCUUAUGAGCAAUAAAACAGUACAUGAUAUGUAAAUUAUUUUUCACUCAAGUAUCUAUCUUGACAGCACAGAAUUUGUUGUUGUUGCAACAGCCAUGGAAAUCAUCAAGAACAAUUCAUGGUUGAUGCUUUUUGUUCUUUUUAUGUGCUUUUCACUCAAAUCCCAUGUCUCCUUCGGAGCUGACACCGUUUCUGCAAACCAAUCUCUCUCUGGCGAUCAAACGAUCGUUUCUAAAGGUGGGGUCUUUGCAUUUGGUUUCUUCAACCCAGCUCCUGGUAAGUCUUCAAACUAUUACAUAGGCAUGUGGUACAAUAAAGUCUCUGAAAGAACUAUAGUUUGGGUAGCCAACAGAGAACAGCCAGUCUCUGAUAGAUUCUCUUCGGUUUUAAGAAUCUCAGAUGGUAACUUAGUUCUUUUUAAUGAGUCCCAACUACCCAUUUGGUCCACAAAUUUGACCGCUACCAGCAGACAUUCUGUGGAAGCAGUUCUUUUAGAUGAAGGAAAUCUUGUUUUGAGAGAUUUGUCAAAUAAUUUGUCAGAGCCGUUAUGGCAAAGUUUUGAUCAUCCAGCUCAUACUUGGAUUCCUGGUAUGAAGCUGACGUUCAACAAGAGAAACAACGUCAGUCAACUUAUCACUUCAUGGAAGAACAAAGAAAAUCCUGCACCGGGUCUCUUCUCCCUUGAGCGAGCACCAGAUGGAUCAAAUCAAU